rnacentral:snoRNA from 1 species
ACCUUCCAGAUCCCUGACCCGACAGACCUGAAGCUGGCCUGAGUUGUCAUAAAAGGGGCCAAAUAAAAGUGAAACUGACUUCAAUUCCUUUGUGACACACGGGCUAGUGUCAAACCAAC